ACAGAGGGUGCAAGCGUUAAUCGGAUUUACUGGGCGUAAAGGGCGCGUAGGCGGGUUUUUAAGUCGGAUGUGAAAUCCCUGGGCUCAACCUAGGAAUUGCAUUCGAUACUGGAAGUCUAGAGUAUGGGAGAGGAAAGUGGAAUUCCCGGUGUAGUGGUAAAAUACGUAGAUAUCGGGAGGAACACCAGUGGCGAAGGCGGCUUUCUGGUCCAAUACUGACGCUGAGGCGCGAAAGCGUGGGGAUCAAACAG
rnacentral:rRNA from 1 species